AUACGGAGGGGGCUAGCGUUGUUCGGAAUUACUGGGCGUAAAGGGCGUGUAGGCGGAUCGAUCAGUCAGGCGUGAAAGCCCCGGGCUCAACCCGAGAACUGCGUUUGAAACUGUCGAUCUUGAGUUCGGGAGAGGGUAGUGGAAUUCCCAGUGUAGAGGUGAAAUUCGUAGAUAUUGGGAAGAACACCAGUGGCGAAGGCGGCUACCUGGACCGGACCUGACGCUGAGGUGCGAAAGCGUGGGGAGCAAACAGGAUUAGAAACCCCGGUAGUCC
rnacentral:rRNA from 1 species